rnacentral:lncRNA from 1 species
UCCCUCAACGCCUGUCUUCCCUCGCGCGUAGAGAGUGACUCGAAGGACCCCCUCUCCUCUUCGCUGCAGCCCCUCCCCAUGCACGCUGGGAGACUCUUGGAGGGGAUAAGGUGGGGCCCGGAGAGGAAGAGAAGACAAUCGGAUUGGAUAGGCAGCUGCCAUGGCAACUGGAGGCUGUGGUUAUAUUGUCAUAGUAACCGAUGUGUGCGGACAGGGUCACCCUCCCCUUGGCCAAUGGAUUCCCAGGAAACCACCCAGGGUUCCCCGUUGGCUUCCCUUCCAUCUAAAGGCCUCCCCCAAGUUAGGAAUCGAUAUAGUUCUCCCCGGUGGUGAAGUCCACUUCCUCCUCCCUUCCCACUUCCCACAGCAACUGGGGGGACACCCCGAGGCAUUCACCAUGGGCUUUUCCACCCGCCUGCGAGCGGGAACCACCUCCGUAGUUUCCUCUCAGAGCCGGGCGUGGAGAGGGCUGGGCCUGCGAAGAGGAUGCAUGGCCUGGAGGCUGGCGGGCGGCGGGCUGGAGUCGGGAGGGCGAGGCGACAGCGCCAAGCGGCGAGGAAGGGCAAGGGGUUUCCCCACAACUGCCUUGGGCUCUGGGAGGCGGGAUCCCGCCUGGACGGGGUCCCUGAGGGAGGAGAGCGGCACACGACAGCCGCGAUGCCUUCCCUGCCGACGGGGAUAGCCGACUUCUGGCGAGUCGACCCCUCCCCCAAAUCCACCCCACCCGCGUACUCCCUCCUGACCUAGCUGUCGCGAGCCUGCCGCGAGGAGGCCAGGGUGAGGGUGGGAACACAUCCUAGAAGGCUAACACGUGGUUUUCUAUCAUUUAAGCCGGGGACAAGCCGGAAGGCUGACUAGCGCCAUCACUCUGAUAGGCACCCCGCAGUGGGGAUCCUGCUUGAUUAUUAAAGGCAGACCUCCAAGUUCCUCCCUGCUCUGCAACCUUUCUCUUCUCACGGGUCUGCAGUGUUUUAAAAGUCGUCAUUCUGUGUCGUUGAGUUAGAGAGGAAAACAUCGGAUAAAAGAGGAUCAAGAAGAACGAACCCUAGAUACAUCUGUCUGGUGAAAGGAGUCUAGGAAAAGAAGUUUCAUUCUUAGAACAAAUCUUUUUGGAUAUUUAUUAUGUGUGUUUUGUGUCAGGUUUCGGGCCAAAAAGCUGAAAUAAAGAACGAAGUCAAUAAUAAUAUGAAGUGUAUGAGAAAUAGCUGGAAAAUUCAUCAUCCAUGACUUGAAGAAAUUGACGUUUUACAAGUUAUAUUUUCGGGUGAAGAGGCACUUUCAAGAUCCUUCUCUGAGACCUGCACCAAUAAGACUAUACCAAUGUUCAGUUGAAACAUCAGGACACUGUUCUGGUUAUGAUGGACACCACAGUGAAAGAGACCUGGUCCCUGCCUUGAGGAAACCCAACUGCUGGUAGAGAGCUCAGAGUAAUGAUUAGGAUGCAAUAUGAGGGAUGCAGUAAUUGGGGGCAAUUCCUAUGGCUCUAAUGCAGUAUCAGGCACUAAUACUUAUGUAUGAGCAAAAAUUGAUGAGGAUGAUCAUGUUUUAAUACACCAGUACAGACCAAAAUGCCUCUUUGGUAAUUUUCAGAUCUACUUCUGGGAACCGUCACAGCCUGAGAAAGAUGGCAUGCCCUGAAUGGAAUUCACAGAGAAUUAUUUUAAGGUCAUGCUACUGGCCCCGCCCAGUUAUGUAACAACUUGCAUUUCCUCAAUUCUCUGGAAUGUGGCCAGUCAGGAACUUCCACAUUUGGUUUUUUUUUUUUCCCCCAUUUGUGGGUAAGAAAGUAAAAGAGGCAGGAAAACUGAAUUGAGAAAGAAGAAAGAAUAGGGGAAGAGAGAAAGAAAAAAGAAAACCAUGAAGCCUGGAAGAGGAGAAAGAAGAGAUAGAUGAGCAAAGAAGCACAUUGCCUGGUGGUAGUAAUAGUUGUCAGACACCCAUCUAUUAUAAUCUGUUUUCCAUGGGAGAUUUUAAGAAGAGGCUAGAUCCCCAGUCUGUCUUAAAAUCAAGAAAAGGGACUCUGUUGCCUCUAAAGUAUACUUCCAGACUCAGCAAUCUCUAAAUUCUGAGUGGGGCAUCCCUAGUUUUGCUGCCUAAAAUCUAUGACAGUUGGAAAUGAUUCCAUUUAAGAUCCAGUUCAAGAAGCUAUACACCCUGAGGAACUUUAUAUUGCCAUUUAGAGGACCGAUAUUCUCCAGAUUGCUUGAGCCCAGGAGUUUGAGACCAGCCUGGGCAACAUGGCAAAACUCCAUCUCUACCAAAAAAAAAAAAAAAACAAAAUUAGCUGGGCAUGGUGGUACACAUCUGUAGAACCAGCUACUCUGGAGGCUGAGCUGAGAGAACCCCUUGAGCCUAGGAGAUGGAGGUUGCUGUGAGCCAAGAUCGUGCCACUGCACUCAAGCCUGGGUGACAGAGCCAGACCCUAUCUCAUAAAUAAAUAAAUGUCAAUAUUCUCCAAAAC